GCCCGGAUGGUGGAAUCGGUAGACACGAGGGACUUAAAAUCCCUUGACCAUAACACGGUCGUGUGGGUUCAAGUCCCACUUCGGGUA
rnacentral:tRNA from 1 species